rnacentral:lncRNA from 1 species
AUUUGAGUCAAAAUCUGAAGAAGGAGGGAGUGAGUCAUCUGAGUCUGUGAAGAAUUUUCUAAGCAAGGCGAGCAGCAAGCACGAAGGCUCUCAGGAAGGAGUGUGCUUGGUGAGUUCUAAGAACAAGCAGGCCAGUGUAGCUGGAAAGUAGUGAGCAGGAGACUGUGGGCAGGAGAGGACAUGAGAGAGGUGACAGAGUGGAUCACUGAGGACCCUGCAAGUGGUGUUGACGUGGGAUUUCACCAUAUUGGCCAGGCUGGUCUCGAACUCCUGACCUCGUGAUCCACUGGCUUCUGCCUCCCAAAGUGCUGGGAUUACAGGUGUGAGCCACCACACUGGCUUACCAAGGCAGACAAGUUCAUCUUCAAGAAAACUAAGAGAUCUCUUCCCCUGACAAAAAACAACUCCAUGUUUGAUGGGACUCAGACCUGGGCUCUUCUGUCACCUCUAGGUAGGGAGGUCUUGGAGAGCAAGUGAGACCAGAGUGUUCAUGGAAAGUCACCAUCCACAGACAUUGGAAAAAUAGUCAUUCCCAAUUUCUGCUAUGUGAUCCCGUUUAGGAGUCACCCUACCAAGUGGGUAUGAUGAUGAAGGUGAGCUGCUAAGAAAGAGGUUGAGAGACAGCUGAUGUUUGUUUCAAGCAAAUCUUCUUUAACCCGAGGCACCAGGAGCAGAGGGCCAGUGGGUAAAAAGGUUAAGUAGGAUGGAAUCUACAAUAAAGCCAAAUGUGUGGGUUCUAUUGCUGAUCUUGUCGUUAUUUUGGAUUUUUGGAGUGGAGAUGAAAUGAAAAUGUUUGUUUUGUAUCUACCUGCCCAGGAUGUAAGUAAGAGGGAAGAACAAGACUCUAGGAGAGAAAUAGAGGCUCCCCUAAAAAAACACCUUAAGUAAAUGUCAGGUGAUGUCACCCAUAAAGUCUUCCAGCCAUAAUAAUUUCACCUGAAAGCUAUUUAUUUUGGAAACAGACAGAAAGCCCUGUCUGUUCCACUUUAAAGUUUCACAUUAAUACUCC